AACCUAUCAAGAGUCAGGGGAGGAAACUGGUCCAUUGAUCCUGCGGCAACCAUACUCUAUUUGUUAUUCCGAGUAAAGGUGCUAAAUCCAGCAAACGAAACUUGUUUGAAAGAUGGGAA
rfam:Virgibacillus massiliensis genome assembly, contig: 000001